rnacentral:misc_RNA from 1 species
GAUGAAGAACGUAGCGAACUGCGAUAAGUAAUGUGAAUUGCAGAAUUCAGUGAAUCAUCGAGUCUUUGAACGCACAUUGCGCCCCCUGGCAUUCCGGGGGGCAUGCCUGUCCGAGCGUCAUUGCUGCCCUUCAAGCCCGGCUUGUGUGUUGGGUCGUCGUCCCCCCCGGGGGACGGGCCCGAAAGGCAGCGGCGGCACCGCGUCCGGUCCUCGAGCGUAUGGGGCUUUGUCACCCGCUCGAUUAGGGCCGGCCAGGCGCCAGCCGGCGUCUCCAACCUUCUAUUUUACCAGGUUGACCUCGGAUCAGGUAGGGAUACCCGCUGAACUUAAGCAUAUCAAUAAGCGGAGGA